rnacentral:lncRNA from 1 species
UUCUAAUUACUAUGGUAUUUCUUUCCAUUCUUCCACAGUUGAACUCUUCAAAAAUGGUGUCUCUUGGAUUCCUUCCUUGAUCUCAUCUUUGCUACCAUCACCUUAGACAGAGAGUUUUUCCAGAAAAUUAUAGAAGAGAGAUUUGUUGCGGUUAAUGGUACAUCAGAAAACAUCCUAAUUUUUUUUAUCAUCCUCGUCAUGCAUCAAUUCUCAAAGUUUCCACAAAUAAUUAAUUGAGGGGAAGUCUUGUCUUCUGCUAAGGUUAGCUGAUCUCUUCCAACGGGACACCAAUAACCGCAUCCACAUUUCUGAUUGGAAUCUACAAAAAUACUCCCUCAGUUCUGGACUGCCCGGCCAGCUGAAGUGGGUAACACAAAAGAAGAGAAGCUAGUAAACUCUUUCUUAGGAGAGAAGUACUUAAUUUCUAAGCUCCUAAAAGAGCUUACUGUGUGGCAGGCUACAUCUGAACUGCUCAGUUCUCAAAUAUAAGGGAGGCAAAGUACUGGACAAAAAAAAAAAAUCAGAAGGCAAGAAAGUUGCCAUGUAUGUUUUAUCACAUGUUUAAAUAUUCCUUCCAUUGGACAAUAAGGAAGAAUCUUUUCAGCGGAUAAAAAUGGAUUGUAUUAGUAAAACUCAAUUAUGAGAACUCUAGUGUGAAACUGGCAGUAAUCACUUUUCAUAUCCAACACACACAGUGAAAAUUGAGUAUUAAAUAUUGUGUAUUUUUAUCUCAGUAAAGCUGACUUUGGC